ACCAAGCUUAUCCUGGCCGCUCCUCUGCUCCCUGCCUGCCAUUCCUUCCCAAGGGCAGGAGAGAAAUGGGGGUAUAACUGCUCUCCCCUACUGGGUUCAAAGCCCCUUAUAUGUAAUUGAAUAUUCGAAUUGACUUCACCUGCCCGCAUCCCCCCCCCCAAUCUAUUAACUCUGAUGUGUGCUUUAUACAAAUAAUAAGCUUAAAACCUUUAACUGGUCUCUAAUUUUUUUUUCUCGUGUUCGCCGUGGCAGAUGACCUCUUCGCCUCAAAUUAUUGAUCUGUGAGCAUGCUUCCGGUAUGAUGUGCAAACACGAGACAUCUCGGCUGAAAAGAUACACUGGAGGAUUAAAACUAAGGACCUGAGCCCUAACCGCCUUCUUUCUCCUCCAAAUCUCUGUCUUUUGCUUUGGCGUUUCCUGACCAUGGGGAAGAAGCUGCACCUUUUCCUUGGGCAACCAGAGGGGAAAAAGGAAUUAGCCUUCUAGUGCGUGAUUGUCCUAAAGGUGUGGAGCCCUUUCUCCAAAUUGAAUGGGGUGAAGAAAUGAAACAGGCUUGCCCUCACAUAAUCAGGGUCUCAACUUUUUCCACAAAUUGUCCACCCUUGAAGGUCCCAAGUAUACUGGCAAAUAACCCAAUAUUCAAGAAAUAAGUAAAAGGGUGGUGGGGAUGUUAUAUUUACAAAAUAAAUGUGCAGAGUAG